GACGAACGCUGGCGGCGUGCCUAAUACAUGCAAGUUGAGCGAUGAAGAUUGGUGCUUGCACCAAUUUGAAGAGCAGCGAACGGGUGAGUAACGCGUGGGGAAUCUGCCUUUGAGCGGGGGACAACAUUUGGAAACGAAUGCUAAUACCGCAUAACAACUUUAAACAUAAGUUUUAAGUUUGAAAGAUGCAAUUGCAUCACUCAAAGAUGAUCCCGCGUUGUAUUAGCUAGUUGGUGAGGUAAAGGCUCACCAAGGCGAUGAUACAUAGCCGACCUGAGAGGGUGAACGGCCACAUUGGGACUGAGACACGGCCCAAACUCCUACGGGAGGCAGCAGUAGGGGAUCUUCGGCAAUAGACGAAAGUCUGACCGAGCAACGCCGCGGGAGUGAAGAAGGGUGUCGGAUCGUAAAACUCGGUUGGUAGAGAAGAACGUUGGUGAGAGUGGAAAGCUCAUCAAGUGACGGUAACUACCCAGAAAGGGACGGCUAACUACGUG
rnacentral:rRNA from 1 species